GACGAACGCUGGCGGCGUGCUUAACACAUGCAAGUCGAACGGAAAGGCCCUGCUUUUGUGGGGUGCUCGAGUGGCGAACGGGUGAGUAACACGUGAGUAACCUGCCCUUGACUUUGGGAUAACUUCAGGAAACUGGGGCUAAUACCGGAUAGGAGCUCCUGCUGCAUGGUGGGGGUUGGAAAGUUUCGGCGGUUGGGGAUGGACUCGCGGGUUAUCCGCUUGUUGGUGGGGUAGUGGCUUACCAAGGCUUUGACGGGUAGCCGGCCUGAGAGGGUGACCGGCCACAUUGGGACUGAGAUACGGCCCAGACUCCUACGGGAGGCAGCAGUGGGGAAUAUUGCACAAUGGGCGGAAGCCUGAUGCAGCAACGCCGCGUGCGGGAUGACGGCCUUCGGGUUGUAAACCGCUUUCGCCUGUGACGAAGCGUGAGUGACGGUAAUGGGUAAAGAAGCACCGCCUAACUACGUG
rnacentral:rRNA from 1 species